AAGUUUACAAAUUUGUGUUGGACCACAUUCAAAGCUGUCCUGGGUGGCAUGAGAACCAUGGGCUGAGGAUUGGACAAGCUUGCUCUACAAUAUUCAAAGAGCCAGAUUUCCUUCUGCACCAGAGCCUGUGGAAGCGCCACAGUGGAAGCAGCAGAGACUGGAAGAGCAGGCCACAGAUCAGCCCUGGGGUUCAGAGGGAUCCUGACGGCUACUCCUCAAGAUCCUCUCUGUUGUGAUUCAUCCCCCCCGGGCCCUACAGUUUCUCCUUCCUGACUCUUACAUUUCUUUGGAUGGCAUCAUUAUUGCUGGAGUGCAGUGAUGUGAUCUCGGCUCACUGCAACCCCUGCUUCCUGGAUUCAAGCAAUUUUCCUGCCUCACCCUCCCAAGUAGCUGGGAUUACAGUACCUGUCUCCUCCCAUAGUUAGGUGCCAAGCACUGUGGAUUCUGCCCCUCAGUGUCCAGACACCCAUUUUCCUUCCCACUGUUCCUUCCCCAUGGAGAAGCCUGUGGCUGGCUGACAGCAGAGAGAGAUGCUCAACUUGGAGAAGGUGUUACCUGGGCCAGGUGGGGAAGGUUUGUUUGCAGAGCAAAGAAGUGAAGGAAGUAUUAACCCUUUGCAUGGCCUCCUGAGAAUCCGACAAGACGUAAAUAGCCAAGAAUAUCUGUGGAACUUAAUCACUGAGUUACAGUAUUUAUCACUGCAAGUGUGUUGUUCAUUGACACUAUAAAGCCAUGUGGAAUUAAGCAGCCUUGAAACACAAAAUGGAGAAAGGCUGAGAGCUGAGAAUUGUUGCCUUCAGGAAAAUACAAUCAAUGUCAAGCA
rnacentral:antisense_RNA from 1 species